AACGAACGCUGGCGGCAUGCCUAACACAUGCAAGUCGAACGAAACCUUCGGGUCUAGUGUCGCCCGGCGGCGUAACGCGUGGGAACCUUCCCACAGGGUCGGCAUAACUCUCCGAAAGGGGUACUAAUACCGGACCAUGUCUACGGCCCGAAGAUUUAUCGCCUUUGGAUGGUCCCGCGUUGGAUUAGCUAGUUGUUAGGGUAAAAGCAUACCAAGGCGACGAUUCAUAGCUGGUCUGUGAGGAUGAUCAGCCACACUGGGACUGAGACACGGCCCAGACUCCUACGGGAGGCAGCAGUGGGGGAUAUUGGACAAUGGGCGAAAGGCUGAUCCAGCAAUGACGCGUGAGUGAUGAAGGCCUUAGGGUUGUAAAGCUCUUUUACCCGGGAUGAUAAUGACAGUACCGGGAGAAUAAGCUCCGGCUAACUCCGUG
rnacentral:rRNA from 1 species